rnacentral:rRNA from 1 species
GACGUAGGGCGCGAGCGUUGUCCGGAUUUAUUGGGCGUAAAGAGCUCGUAGGCGGCUUGUCGCGUCGUCCGUGAAAACCCACAGCUCAACUGUGGGCUUGCGGUCGAUACGGGCAGGCUAGAGUUCGGUAGGGGAGUCUGGAAUUCCUGGUGUAGCGGUGAAAUGCGCAGAUAUCAGGAGGAACACCGGUGGCGAAGGCGGGACUCUGGGCCGAUACUGACGCUGAGGAGCGAAAGCGUGGGGAGCAAACAGG